rnacentral:rRNA from 1 species
UACAGAGACCUCAAGCGUUAUCCGGAAUCAUUGGGCGUAAAGCGUACCGAUAGGUGGUUUAGAAAGUCUUGGGUAAAAGCCAGAAGCUUAACUUCUGAGUUUGCUUAAGAUACUUCUCAACUAGAGGGGCAAAGAGGUCCUUGGAACGAACGGUGUAGUAGUGAAAUGCGUUGAUAUCGUUCGGAACACCGAAAGCGAAGGCAGAGGACUGGGUGCCACCUGACACUGCUAGGACGAAAGCGUGGGGAGCGAAUGGG